rnacentral:rRNA from 1 species
GAUGAACGCUGGCGGCGUGCCUAGUACAUGCAAGUCGAGCGAACAGACGAGGAGCUUGCUCCUCUGACGUUAGCGGCGGACGGGUGAGUAACACGUGGAUAACCUACCUAUAAGACUGGGAUAACUUCGGGAAACCGGAGCUAAUACCGGAUAAUAUAUUGAACCGCAUGGUUCAAUAGUGAAAGACGGUUUUGCUGUCACUUAUAGAGGGAUCCGCGCCGCAUUAGCUAGUUGGUAAGGUAACGGCCUACCAAGGCAACGAUGCGUAGCCGACCUGAGAGGGUGAUCGGCCACACUGGAACUGAGACACGGUCCAGACUCCUACGGGAGGCAGCAGUAGGGAAUCUUCCGCAAUGGGCGAAAGCCUGACGGAGCAACGCCGCGUGAGUGAUGAAGGUCUUCGGAUCGUAAAACUCUGUUAUUAGGGAAGAACAAAUGUGUAAGUAACUAUGCACGUCUUGACGGUACCUAAUCAGAAAGCCACGGCUAACUACGUG